CUACGGGUUGCUCCAGUGGGGAAUAUUGCACAAUGGAGGAAACUCUGAUGCAGCAACGCCGCGUGGAGGAUGACACUUUUCGGAGCGUAAACUCCUUUUAUAUAGGAAGAUGAUGACGGUACUAUAUGAAUAAGCGCCGGCUAACUCCGUGCCAGCAGCCGCGGUAAUACGGAGGGCGCAAGCGUUACUCGGAAUCACUGGGCGUAAAGAGCGUGUAGGCGGAUUAAAAAGUCAGAAGUGAAAUCCUAUAGCUUAACUAUAGAACUGCUUCUGAAACUCUUAAUCUAGAAUAUGGGAGAGGUAGAUGGAAUUUCUGGUGUAGGGGUAAAAUCCGUAGAGAUCAGAAGGAAUACCGAUUGCGAAGGCGAUCUACUAGAACAUUAUUGACGCUGAGACGCGAAAGCGUGGGGAGCAAACGGGAUUAGAUACCCGUGUAGUC
rnacentral:rRNA from 1 species